rnacentral:rRNA from 1 species
AGCUGCGUCGAGAUCUUCGCAUGGGCGAAGCCUGACRAGGCGACGCCGUGUGAGCGAAGAAGGCCUUCGGGUUGUAAAGCUCUUUCGCUGGGGAACAAGAGAGGUUGGYYAAUACCCGAUUAAUUUGAUGGUACUUGGAAAAGAAGCACCGGCUAACUC